rnacentral:lncRNA from 1 species
GUUUUCUUCUAGGUUCAAACAAACACAAUGCCAUAGGUAUUACUGGAUCAGACAAAAUGUCUUAUUUAAUUUUAAUGGCAUCCAAAAGAAAUCUCAAAUUUGCAAACCAGAAACAGGCAGAGCUGCCUCUAUGCAGUUCAGUGGGAAGAGACUAUCCUGUGAAGAAGCUGAUUCUACUAAUCAAAAGGAAAAAUCUUUAGAUAUCAGACCAUUCUCUAAAUGCCCUUCCAUUGGUGAUUGCAGUUCGCACGAAGAAAAUGAUCAAACAGCGCCACUUACAGCAGCAGCAGAGUAGGAAAAAUUUGAAUAAUCAGCUGGGACCAGACUGGACUGCCUUGAGGUGGGGGAGACAUUGAGGAACCAGGAACAACAGCAAUUCAAGUAUGAAUCAAAGUAGCGAAGAAUGAACAAAAAAGAUUAGCAAUGUGAAUAUUGACAAACUUAUAAAGGAUUUUUCACAGAUAGAAAGGAAAAUGAUACAAAAUGGGCAUCUGAAAUGAACAGACAUUUCUCAGACAAGGAAGUAGAAAUAGCAAAUAAAUACAUGAAAAAAUGUUCAACAUCACUGGUCAUUCGAGAGAUGCAAAUGAAAACAAUGCUGAGAUUCCACUUCACUCCAGAAAGAAUGGCUGCUAUCAAGAAAUCAAUA